AGUGAACGCUGGCGGUAGGCCUAACACAUGCCAGUCGAACGGCAGCACAGUAAGAGCUUGCUCUUACGGGUGGCGAGUGGCGGACGGGUGAGGAAUACAUCGGAAUCUACUUUUUCGUGGGGGAUAACGUAGGGAAACUUACGCUAAUACCGCAUACGACCUACGGGUGAAAGCAGGGGAUCUUCGGACCUUGCGCGAUUGAAUGAGCCGAUGUCGGAUUAGCUAGUUGGCGGGGUAAAGGCCCACCAAGGCGACGAUCCGUAGCUGGUCUGAGAGGAUGAUCAGCCACACUGGAACUGAGACACGGUCCAGACUCCUACGGGAGGCAGCAGUGGGGAAUAUUGGACAAUGGGCGCAAGCCUGAUCCAGCCAUACCGCGUGGGUGAAGAAGGCCUUCGGGUUGUAAAGACCUUUUGUUGGGAAAGAAAAGCAGCAGGUUAAUACCCCGCUGUUCUGACGGUACCCAAAGAAUAAGCACCGGCUAACUUCGUG
rnacentral:rRNA from 1 species